UACAGAGGUCCCAAGCGUUGUUCGGAUUCACUGGGCGUAAAGGGUGCGCAGGUGGGUUUACAAGUUCGAUGUGAAAGCCCCGGGCUUAACCCGGGAAUGGCAUUGGAUACUGCAGAUCUGGAGGAUCGGAGGGGGGACUGGAAUUCUUGGUGUAGCAGUGAAAUGCGUAGAUAUCAAGAGGAACACCAGUGGCGAAGGCGAGUCCCUGGACGAUACCUGACACUGAGGCACGAAAGCCGGGGGAGCAAACAGG
rnacentral:rRNA from 1 species